UGUGGUCUUUGGGAAGUGAUGACAUCAUGAAGGCAGAGCCUUAUAAAAGGGCAAGGCUGAAGGGAGCACUCUAUCUUGUCCCUCCCUCCCUUCUGCCAUUUGAAGAAGCCGGGCAGUGCCAUCUGUGAGGAAUGAGCCUUCUCCUGACACUGAACCUGCUGGUGCCUUGAUCAUAGACUUCCCAGCCUCUAGAACUGGAUAUAAUACUCGUCAAAAACUCCAUCGUAUUAUGAGAAUCGGCACCAAGUUGAUCUGAAAUGCAUAUUUGAACAGAUGUGUUUAAAUUACAUCUCCGUCUAUCCACAUGCAUAAAUUCAGAGCAAGCGUGUGUUGAUUUAAAAUGCAUAAAAAAAGGGAUUUGGAGACGCAUCAAAAGUGAACAGCAUCUCAAUGGAUCAAGGCUCACAUUACGAAAGGGAAAGGAAGAGACACCAGAGCUCUCUCUCCCCAUGUCACACACAGAGGAAAGGCCCAGUGGAGGACACAGGAAGAAGGCAGCCAUCUGCAAACCAGGAACAGAGACCUGACCAGAAACAGAAUCUGCUGGCACCUGAUCUGGGACUUGCAGCCUCUAAAAUGGUGAGAAA
rnacentral:lncRNA from 1 species